rnacentral:rRNA from 1 species
UACGGGGGGGGCAAGCGUUGUUCGGAAUUACUGGGCGUAAAGGGCUCGUAGGUGGCCAACUAAGUCAGACGUGAAAUCCCUCGGCUUAACCGGGGAACUGCGUCUGAUACUGGAUGGCUUGAGUUUGGGAGAGGGAUGCGGAAUUCCAGGUGUAGCGGUGAAAUGCGCAGAUAUCGGGAGGAACACCGGUGGCGAAGGCGGUUCUCUGGGCCUGUUCUGACGCUGAGGAGCGAAAGCGUGGGGAGCAAACAGG